rnacentral:rRNA from 1 species
UACGGAGGGUGCAAGCGUUAUCCGGAUUCACUGGGGUUAAAGGGUGCGUAGGUGGGUUGAUAAGUCAGUGGUGAAAUCUCCGAGCUUAACUUGGAAACUGCCAUUGAUACUAUUAGUCUUGAAUACCGUGGAGGUUAGUGGAAUAUGUCAUGUAGCGGUGAAAUGCUUAGAUAUGACAUAGAACACCCAUUGCGAAGGCAGCUGACUACACGGUGAUUGACACUGAGGCACGAAAGCGUGGGGAUCAAACAGG